UGACCUAAACCCUCACCAGAGUAACAAUUGGAGGGCAAGUCUGGUGCCAGCAGCCGCGGUAAUUCCAGCUCCAAUAGCGUAUAUUAAACUUGUUGCAGUUAAAAAGCUCGUAGUUGAAUUUCUGCGUUAUCGAGUUAUUGACUCUUGUCUUUAAUCGAUUUCGCUUUUGGGAUUUAUCCCUUUUUACUUUGAGAAAAUUAGAGUGUUUCAAGCAGACUUUUGUCUUGAAUACUUCAGCAUGGAAUAAUAGAGUAGGACUUUGGUUCUAUUUUGUUGGUUUUUGAACCUUAGUAAUGGUUAAUAGGAACGGUUGGGGGCAUUCGUAUUUAACUGUCAGAGGUGAAAUUCUUAGAUUUGUUAAAGACGAACUACUGCGAAAGCAUUUGCCAAGGACGUUUCCAUUAAUCAAGAACGAAAGUUAGGGGAUCGAAGACGAUCAGAUACCGUCG
rnacentral:rRNA from 1 species